GAUGAACGCUGGCGGCGUGCCUAAUACAUGCAAGUCGAGCGAAGCGGGGACGGGUGAGUAAUACGUGGAUACCCUUCUAUAAGACUGGGAUAACUUCGGGAAACCUGAUCUCAACACGAUACUUAGAGAUGGAUCCGCGCUGCAUUAGCUAGUUGGUAAGGUAACGGCUUACCAAGGCAACGAUGCAUGGCCGACCUGUGAGGGUGAUCGGCCACACUGGAACUGAGACACGGUCCAGACUCCUACGGGAGGCAGCAGUGGGGAAUCUUCCGCAAUGGGCGAAAGCCUGACGGAGCAACGCCGCGUGAGUGAAGAAGGUCUUCGGAUCGUAAAACUCUUUUAUUAGGGAGGCGGUACCUAAACAGAAAGCCACGGCUAACUACGUGCCAGCAGCCGCGGUAAUAC
rnacentral:rRNA from 1 species